rnacentral:rRNA from 1 species
ACGGGAGGCAGCAGUGGGGAAUAUUGGGCAAUGGGCGAAAGCCUGACCCAGCGACGCCGCGUGAGGGAAGAAGGUCUUCGGAUUGUAAACCUUAGUUAGCAGGGAAGAAGAAAGUGACGGUACCUGCAGAGAAAGCCACGGCUAACUACGUGCCAGCAGCCGCGGUAAUACGUAGGUGGCAAGCGUUAUCCGGAAUUACUGGGUGUAAAGGGAGCGCAGGCGGGAUAGCAAGUCAGCGGUGAAAAUUAUGGGCUUAACCCAUAAACUGCCGUUGAAACUGUUAUUCUUGAGUGGAGUAGAGGCAGGCGGAAUUCCGAGUGUAGCGGUGAAAUGCGUAGAUAUUCGGAGGAACACCAGUGGCGAAGGCGGCCUGCUGGGCUCUAACUGACGCUGAGGCUCGAAAGUGUGGGGAGCAAACAGGAUUAGAUACCCUGGUA